rnacentral:rRNA from 1 species
UACGAGUGCGUCGAGCGUUAUCCGGAAUCAUUGGGCGUAAAGGGUGCGUAGGUGGCGCGCUAAGUCAGGUGUGAAAUUUCGGAGCUUAACUCCGAAACUGCAUUUGAUACUGGCGUGCUUGAGGACUGGAGAGGAGACUGGAAUUUACGGUGUAGCAGUGAAAUGCGUAGAGAUCGUAAGGAAGACCAGUGGCGAAGGCGGGUCUCUGGACAGUUCCUGACACUGAGGCACGAAGGCCAGGGGAGCAAACGGG